CGGAAUUAUUGGGCGUAAAGAGCUUGUAGGCGGUUCGUCGCGUCUGGUGUGAAAGCCCAUCGCUUAACGGUGGGUUUGCGCCGGGUACGGGCGGGCUAGAGUGCAGUAGGGGAGACUGGAAUUCUCGGUGUAACGGUGGAAUGUGUAGAUAUCGGGAAGAACACCAAUGGCGAAGGCAGGUCUCUGGGCUGUUACUGACGCUGAGAAGCGAAAGCGUGGGGAGCGAACAGGAUUAGAUACCCUGGUAGUCCACGCCGUAAACGGUGGACGCUGGAUGUGGGGCCCAUUCCACGGGUUCUGUGUCGGAGCUAACGCGUUAAGCGUCCCGCCUGGGGAGUACGGCCGCAAGGCUAAAACUCAAAGAAAUUGACGGGGGCCCGCACAAGCGGCGGAGCAUGCGGAUUAAUUCGAUGCAACGCGAAGAACCUUACCUGGGCUUGACAUGUGCCUGACGACUGCAGAGAUGUGGUUUCCUUUCGGGGCAGGUUCACAGGUGGUGCAUGGUCGUCGUCAGCUCGUGUCGUGAGAUGUUGGGUUAAGUCCCGCAACGAGCGCAACCCUCGCCCUGUGUUGCCAGCGGGUUAUGCCGGGAACUCACGGGGGACCGCCGGGGUUAACUCGGAGGAAGGUGGGGAUGACGUCAGAUCAUCAUGCCCCUUACGUCCAGGGCUUCACGCAUGCUACAAUGGCCAGUACAACGGGUUGCUUCAUGGUGACAUGGUGCUAAUCCCUUAAAACUGGUCUCAGUUCGGAUCGUAGUCUGCAACUCGACUACGUGAAGGCGGAGUCGCUAGUAAUCGCGAAUCAGCAACGUCGCGGUGAAUGCGUUCCCGGGCCUUGUACACACCGCCCGUCAAGUCAUGAAAGUGGGCAGCACCCGAAGCCGGUGGCCUAACCCUUUUGGGAUGGAGCCGUCUAAGGUGAGGCUCGUGAUUGGGAC
rnacentral:rRNA from 1 species